UCCAUAAAGUGAGGAAAAAAGGUUUUUAGGGAUUUGAUAUGAGGAUCUUUUAAGGCAUAGGACAAUUUGCUGAAGGAGGGAGUAGCAUAUAUGAGGCCUUAAAGCUAUGAUUGGAGCUAAAUUGAAGCAAGAAAAGCCCCUAGGAGCUGAGUACGUGGGAAGACGAGAAAAAGAAGAGAUGAAAUGAAGACCUGGACUAGCGCGUCCAUUAGUGCGACCGCGCUAGCCCAGUUCCGGAAGAGUAAAUUGCAGGGGUAAAAUUGGAAGUUCGGGGGCAAAUCCACUUAACCUAUAGAAGGUCUAGCUCGCCCAAGAGAGGAUUAUCAAGGUUUUCAUAGCUUAGUUCAAGGCAAGGAGAGGCAAGAGGCAAGGAGGAUAAUUCAACAUCGAGUUCUUCCUUUCUUCCUUUUUGUUUUUACGAUUUGUGAUGAAUUUGAAUGUUGUUGUGAUGAAUCCUAGUAUGAAUAGCUAAAUAUUUAGUCUAAGGUUUUGAUGGAACCUAUUGAAGGAUGAA